rnacentral:lncRNA from 1 species
GCUCGGGCGUAGAGGCCACGGCUAAUGAGGGCUCAGAAGUCCAUUUUUUUUUUUUUUUUUUAUAAGCUCAGUUGCUUUGGGACUAGCCCAUUAAAGGGAGUCAGUUUACUGGAGUCACCGUAUUUCUUUGGAAGGGGGUGGCGGUGAGGACAGGGAACUCCCCGUGUGUGAACUACCUCCGCUGAUGUACUUAAAUAUCGAAUCUCUAAUUUCGUAUUUCAGAGCUGUGCAGGGCACUGACAAGAUGGUGUAGUAGCGUUCCCAAGAUCGAUAUAUUAUGCUUGGAGGCAGCCUCAUGAGUUUAAAAGAUUGGGACAUUCUGGUCCUCAUUUGGUUCUGGCUGCACUCAAGAAAGCAUACUAUCUACAACCAUUACAAUGCUUCUUAGAAAUGAUCACCAUGUAGAGAAUGAACACAUUCUCUGGCCUGGGUUGCUGGAAAACAUGGACCUGGAGGGAAUUAUUUAGGACAAUGCAGAAUGAAAUUUCAGAGGCUAAAAGCAAAUCAAUUCUCAUUUUACUACGAGACUAAAAGGCACAGAAAAGGGAUCAGUAAAGCCAACCAGCUACUUACUCUUUGCAGGAAGAGAAGCUCAAUAAAUGAUACUCAAUUGAUGUGAAUUCAUUUUGUCCAGAAUAAAAAAAAAAAAAAAAAAAAGGCAAUGGAAAAUCACAUUUAAAAAAAAAAACUGUCAAUUUUCUUUCAUAAAACAAAAAUGAAUAUACCAUAUC